ensembl:lncRNA
CCCCGGGGUGGCCGCAGAUGGCCGCCCGGAGGCCAGGCUCUGCUUCGGUCGGAGCGGUGGCCGGUGGCGCCGCGCGGGGCCAGGAGGCGCCGGCCUGUGAUUGGCGGAGGCCGUCGUGAAUGCAGGACAUUGUCUGGUGGCGGCCGUCUCUGUCCCUGCCUGGCCGCCCUUCCCCGGAUGGAAGUGGGUGCGGGGCGAGGGUCCGGGUCGGCGAUCGCCGCCCGCCAGGAGUCCUAGGAAUGUGGGAACGCAGUGGUCUGAAGGGAAUCCCAUUAUGUAGUUCAGGCUGACCUUGAACUCACUAUGUAACCCAGACUGUCCUCUAACCCUAGAGGAUCCUCCUGCCUCAGCCUCCCAAGUACUGGGAUUACAGGGAUGGAACUCGGGUCCUUGUGCUUGCGCAGCAGGCGGCGAAACCACUGAGCUAAAUCCCCGGCCCUGUUUAACUCUUUUGACUAAAGAUAAGUGUUAGGAUUUGAUAUUCUGGGAGGGGAAGGGGUGAAAGGAUUGUAUCCACCCAUCUUUCCCUCCCACCUGCACCUGAAGCUAGCUCUUGCACUCUAUUCUUGGUCAAAAAUGGGAGAUGAAACACUGUCCAGCAUACCCACAGCAGUAUAGAAGAAAGAACAGCAGCUGCCAAACCUGCUUCACCAAGUCACACUGCCACUAGUGGUGACCAGGACCAAGGUUUUAACACUUGAGGAGCCUUGAAUGGCAGGGCUAAAUACAACCACCUUGCCUUGUGUUAGCUAGUGGGUGUGUUUUAACAAGUUCCAUAAGUAAGCUUUUACCAUUUGAUACUUCUCAAAUUCAAAUGCAGAUACCUCUUGACUUAUGGAGUUAUGUCACCAUAACCCCAUGGUAAGAUAAAAAUAUUAAGUUAAAAUUGCAUUCAAUACUCCUAAUCUAGGGCCAGGAUUUAGCUCAGUGGUUCGGCCACCUGCCUUGUAAGCGUAAGGACCUGAGUUCAAUCCCCGGUACCAAAAAAAAAAAAAUACACCUAAUCUAUCAAACAUUGUAACUUGGCCUAACUUUUCUUAAACAUACUCAGAGAACUUACAUCAGUUUACAGUUGGGCAAAAUUAUCUAACACAAACCUAUUUUACAAUAAAAUGUUGAAUAUCUCAUGCAAUUUAUUGAAUAUUGUACUGAAACUGAAAAACAUGGUAGUGUGGGUAGCUUUCACAUGAUCAAAUUGAAAGCUGUAAGUCAGAUCAUCAUAAGUUGGUGACUAUAUGAAAACAUCUUGAAAAUAUAUAAAAAUACUUACAAUAGCAUGCAUGUUUUACUUAUCUCUAUUCUAGUAUUUCUUGGUGCUCAACAGAUGGUCACUUUUCCUUGGCUCUAGCUGGAGUGGUUGCUUGUCUGUCACCCCACAGGCUAGGGUUGGGGAUGGCUUUCACUGCUGCUGGGCUGGGGCUGUUGCACCUUGUUUUUUUUUUUUUGGUACCAGGGAUUGAACUCGGGACCUUGUGCUUGCGAGUCAGGCGGCAAAACCACUGAGCUAAAAGUUGCACCUUGUUGAUUUCCUUAACUCUGCUCACUUCCUUCAAAGUCCAUUUAUACUUCCUAAAUGAACAUGCCUUUCCUUCCCACCUUAGAUGGUACCUGAACAGAUAUGCAUCAAGGUCUAGCCCCUCCAAUUUAAUCUGCAUGCUUUUCCUUCCGCACUCUAGUCUCUGAUACAAAUGAACCCCCUAGAAUCCACCCCCCAACUCUGAACCUUGCAUAUGCUGUUCUAACAAGACUAUUCCAUGAAGACUUCCUAGAUUUCCUUGCAUGUAGGUGUUGUUACUGAGUUUUCCACAUUGUAUCAAUUUUAUUCAUUUAUUUAUUUAUUUUUUGGGGGGUUACUGAGGAUCGAACUCAGAACCUUGCGCUUGUGAGGCAGGUGCCAGAACCACUGAGGUAAAUCCCCGGCCCUAUUUCGGUAUUUUGAAACAAGGUCUCACUAUGUAAUUCAGGGUGGCCUUAAACUUGGGAUAAUCCUCCUGCCUCAGCUUCCUAAGUGUUGAGAUUACAGGCAUGUACCACCUUGCCCAGUUGAUUUUAUUAUUUUUAUACUUUUUUCUUCUUUUGCCACAUUGUACUUGCCGCUUUGCCUUUUCAAAGCUGAAAUUCCUUGAGGCUGAACAUUGUGUCUUAAUGCAAACAGUCAUUCUCCAAGUUAUUUGUUUUGGAAAUAUUACUUCUUCCUGUAUCAGAUUUACCUUAAGGUAAUUCCAGUUCUCAUGGGCUUCCUCAAGAUGUGGAUGGCAUAAAGGACACAGAUACCAAGAAGAGCUCACCAUCAUGGCUUUCCUCACGAUAGGCUGCCCUGCUUUCUCCAGAUGAGAAGAACCUGGAAUCUAACUCCAGAAGGAGAGAUGAGCAACCCAGAACCUGCUAAUGCUUAAUUGGUGAGCCACCUUUGGAAGCAGGCUACCCAGAAACAGAAGGAGGAUCACCUUGAGUUCGAGGCCAGCCUGGGCUACAUAGUGAGUUCGAGGCCAGCCUGGACUACAUACAUAGCAAGACCCUGUCUCAAAAAGACCAAAUAAAUAAUAAAUGAAUAAAUAAAUGUCUGAAUUGGAAUUCAAAAAGAAAAGAAGAAAAGUAAUUCCGUGUUGUCCCCUAAGACAUUAUAAGAUUUAACUGAAAAGAAUCAGUUGACUGUCUUUUUCUUUUUUUCUAUGAAUAGAACAGUAAGGACAAAGAUGAACAGUAGUAUUUUUCUUCUGUGCAGUUCCCUUCCAUGUUUUGGGCAGUAGAGAAAGGGAGAGGCAAAUUUCUCCCCAGUCCCUCGUUUCUCUCCCUCUAGCAGGGUGUUUUCUGUAAUUGGCUUUCCACAUUUGCCAAGAGUCUGUUUCCUCUUAACAUCCAACAUGCUUAACAGAAGCCUUGUAAUAGUUCCAAAAAUGAUAAAACCAGACCCAAGAAUAAAAUGAUACACACGACACAUUUGUUUUGGCCAUAGCUUUGGUUAAGUUCUUUUAAAUAAUUUAGGGUUAAAUGUGGU